GACGUCGAUAUGCGACGUCAUAAACACGAUCAACUUUGGUGUUUAUGACGUCGAUAUUCGACGUCAUAAACACGAUCAACUUUGGUGUUUAUGACGUCGAUAUUCGAGGUCAUAAACACGAUCAACUUUGGUGUUUAUGACGUCGAUAUUCGACGUCAUAAACACGAUCAACUUUGGUAUUUAUGACGUCGAUAUUCGACGUCAUAAACACGAUCAACUUUGGUGUUUAUGACGUCGAUAUUCGACGUC
rnacentral:miRNA from 1 species